rnacentral:lncRNA from 1 species
CAUCAUUAAGAUCAAAGUAAUAGAAAAUUGAAACAAAAAACUAUGUACCUUUGUUAAAAUGAAGUCCACUAGCUUGCAUUGAUGCUUCCUCAAACGGUUCCUUUUAAUUAAAAUUUUAAAGUAGCAACAAUAUUACCUAUAAAAGAAAACGAGACAAAAUUUAAGUGGAGAUAAAAUUCAAGAUUAAGAUUGGUCAAAUUGAGAAAAUAUAAGUGGAGAUGAAAAUAUAAGUGAGGAAAAUGUUUCAGGGGAGCGGUGCUCAAAUUGAGAUUCAGAUUGGUCAGGAAUCACCAAAGAGAGUCCUAAUACUCCCUGACUUGAAUUUGGACCUGCGUCAAGAAGAGAUCUAGAAUAAAUGGAAGGGAUCCUGAGUACAAAUGGUGAAUGUGAGUCUAAAAUUUGGUAUUAUGCAUACUUGUGGUUGAACUGUUUCUAUGUGUUUUUUCUCUUUCCAUAGAGAUUUAAAUUAUACUUUAUUUGAGACUUAUGUUUAUUUUGUUGUAUCCAAUAAUUAUAAACUGUUUAUAUUAUUUAUCAGUAGCAUUUUUAUUUUCAACUAAAAAAAUAAUGCGCCAAAACUAUACUUUGUUCGCAUUUAGUGUCCAAUAGUGCCUAAAAAAAUAACGCGCCAAAAACUUAGCUUUAACACUAAUUUCCAUAGGUGAAUGCUGCAACAAAGAGAUUCACCUAUGGGAAUUAGUAAUAUCUCUCUUUAGUGUUCAAGCUAAGUUUGGCGCAUUAUUUUUUAGUAGAAAUAAAAAUGCUACUGAUAAAAAAAAACUACUUUUUUUGCACAAUCUGAUGCUUUUACAUUAUUUAUGCAACACAAACCUAGAAAAUACAACUACAAGUCUACAACAACAAGAACAAGCAAGCAAACCUUAUUGUAAUAACCUAAUUAUGUACUUAAUGAUAAAUCAGAUCGAUUCAUGAUACAAUAAUGAGAUCAACCAAAUUUCAGCACACAAACAAAGUAAUAAAAAAUUGAAACCAAAAUCAAUAUACCUUUGUUUAAAUUGAAGUCCACUAGCUUGCAUUGAUGCUUCGUGAAAUGGUUCCUUUUAAUUAAAAUUUUAAAGUAGCAUGGAUUUUACCUAUGAAAGAAAAAGAACGAAAAUAUAAGUGGAGAUUAAAUUGAAGAUUGAUUAUGAGAAUACAUAGCGUUGAAUAGUGUUUACCGUCAUCAGGUAUGGUGGCUGGUCUAUCACCGGCGGCGAAAAUGGUUGCCAUGGCAGAUUCCGGCGAAAAGUGGAACACAGAAAAGGGGAAAGCAGCUCGGUCGGUGAAAAUGAUUAGUUAUAUGUACAACUUUAGGGUAUAUAUGUACAACUUUAUGGUAUAUUUGGUUCGGGGGUUUUGGAGGGAAGGAAAGGUAAUAUUUUAAAUUUUGUGUGUUUGGUUCAAUCUUUUAGAGGGUAAAAAAGAAAGGGUGAUGCUAACGGUGUCUCUGGGGCACUUAUUAAGCAUACCAAAAAAAGAAAUAAAAGAUGUAUGUUAUUCAAAAACAAAUUUAAGACACAAAAUUGACACAUAUGUGGAUUUAAAAUACAUCCGCUUCCUUCCUAUUUUGUUUUUUGUUUUUUUUUAAAAANNNNNNNNNAGAGUUUUUUUUGCUCUGUAUGGACUUAGCCCACCGAAAUUGGCACCAGUGGGAAUCGAACCUGAGACCUUGAGAGGAGCAUACUCCAAGGGCCCAAGCCAACACCACUCGACCAACCCCAAGUGGGUUCCCUUCCUUUUUUGUUGUUGUUGUUGUUGUUGUUGUUGUUGUUGUUGUUGUUAUUGUCGUCGGUGACAAAUACAAAUGUGGGUUUUAAUAGUUAUUAUCUUAUAAAAAAAGAAAUUCUUUUCAAUUUAAAAAAUAUUCAAUACACUUUUAUUUUAUUUUUCGCAUAAAUCGGAUAUCUCUGCGCACAACUACAUACUCUAAUCCUCCCUCAAACCUUAUGUAAUUAAUUUAACAUUGUAAAUUCAAAACAUUUUUAGUCCCGUUUGAUUUAGAUUCUCUAAAAAUUAUUUUGUUUAAAAAAAGAAGUUAGAAUUUGCUUCCGGUGAUUUGAGUGGCUUGUAUUUGUGUUAUUUGGAAGAAGCUAAAAUUUGUUUCAUGAAUAGGUGAUUUGAAGGUUCAUCUCACCUGGAUUGAAUUGUGAUGACGUCUACUUUAAUUUAUGUGUCAAGUGUCACAUUUGUCUUAAAUUAUGGUGCAUCACACACACUCUGUGUUUGUCUCAAAUUUUUCCUAGAUAUGUUCAUGAAUAAGACGGUACAAAGUAUUAUGAGAUGUCUAAUCUUCAAAUAUUUUUUCUCAAUAUAUACUUACCCUAAGAAAGAUAUAUAUCCAGAAUUGAUAUCGUAUCUAACAAGAAUGGAAAAGAAUUUAAUUUAUAUGCACCGUCAGUCUAAAGUUAUUUUGCACAUGCGUCCAAUAAUAUACCGACACAUCAUGUAUGGUAAUUAAAAACACAUGAUGUGUCACAUUCAUUAAAUGAUUUGGCAACACGUCAUUAGAUGUAUGUGUAAAAAAUAUUUACAUCGACGGUGCACAACAAUUAAACUCAAUGGAAAAAUACGUACCAGAAGAGUGAGUCAUCAGACAACACGUUUAGACUCAAGUAGUCUAUCUUCUCCGACUAGGAUCGUGUUUCUAGCAGUGAGCUAUUCGCUAAAAGUUGAAAUUGGUCUGAAAUUGCAAACCCUAAGGCAAUUGGAAAAGGUAUUGGUAGGCUAGUGUAUUUAUAUUGAACUGAAUGGCCUUAAUAACAAAAUUAUUUACUGCUUCAUUAGUUGUUUUGUUGAUUAAUUUACAAAUUUUAAGAUUUGUUCCAAUAUUGAUCUAGUCUUUAUGACCUAUUUGAUUUUGAAGUUUUCUAGCUUAUAAAUCAUUACAGUGGAUGUCUUAUAUUUGUAUUUGGCCCUAUGUUAUUCUUAUAAUUUCUUCUUUCUGGACCAUUUCUUUCUCAUUUGAUAAUUUUUUUUUUAUUUCACGAGUUCAGUCAGUCAUCAAACCCAGUAACACCUGAUUCCAACUAGUGACUCUAGUGUUAAUAAACAAGAAAUACAAAUAAAAAUGGCAGUAUAGUAAUUUAGUGUUGAGGGGGUAUUUAAGAACAAACCACUCACUUUUCCN